UAAAAAAAAACUCAUCUGACAUUGACAGCUUAAAACGUCAAACAAAAGUGUUCAUGAAUAUUUUUCUACGUUGAAGAAUAUCUCAAAUAACUAUGAUCUCACUCUUUUAUCUGGUGUUAAUAUAAGUUUAAAAAGUGCAUUAGUAUAUCAAAAUGCAACAAUCCCCGUUUGAGAAUAUUUUUAACAUAAUUGGCGGAUUAUCCGAAGGAAAUGAAAAGCCCAUGAAACAUGGGUUCUAUAACGCAUUUGCCUUGUUCAUUCUAACUAUAUGCUGUGCUGCAGUUUAUGUGCUGUUUCUUAUACUGGAACCCUUCUUUAAACCUUUGUUUUGGGCACUUUUAGUGGGUUCGUUGCUGCACCCGUUCAAAUAUAAACUGUCUAAGAAGCUGAAGUCAUGGUUUGAAGAUUUAGAGAAACGUAACACAUCUGUGAUAUUUGGAUUAAUGUUCUUACCUGUAAAUGUUGUUAAUUUUGCUUCGGACACUGUGGGACAUCAGUUCAUAGAACAUUACAAGACUGUAAUUGGAUUACUCUCUGCAAUAUUUGUGUUACCUUGGCUGUACAAUGCCAUUCCCCGAAGUUUGGUCUGCAUAUUCUGGCAGCUCAGCAGCUUCAUUGGCUUCUCAACUACAAAGCUAAUUGGCUUUUGCAGCUCAUACAUUACUCUGACCAUAGCUCUGGCUUAUUUAAUAAGCAUAUGCACAUUAUGGAGGCCAGAGCGAUCGGGCAUGUUUAAAGCAUCAUCGCAAUUCCUCUGGCUUGUUAUAACAAGUUUCUUAGCCAGUCUGACUGGGUCUCUGCAAGUCUAUACAUUUGUACUGCUGCAAGGCCUAUGUGUAGCAGGAUUUGCGCUUGAAGUAAUUGAUGUUCAUAAGGAGUUAUUAGCGAGAGAUCCUGAGAUAUCAGCUAUUGUCGCAAUCCAAAAAGUUCUUACCAACGAACAUUGCAAGGAUGCAAUCAAGCAAGAUGAAAAGCCAGAACAGAGUGCUAGUGAACAGGAAUCCACGCCCGAGAAAGAAUCCCCUUCUCCCGUCACCCCUGAUGCCGCUAUGAAAAGGGGAAGCUGGGCAGAAAGCGAUCAAAUACACAGCUCGCCUCGUCAUGCAAAAAUGCUGUACAAAACUCGAACAUUAUCCGCCUUACCACUAUCGAAUACGAAAACGAAAUCCGCCUUCGAAAAUCGACUCAUCGCCUCCUUCAAACAAAGAUCGAUGGACGAAAACUACAUGAAAAGCAACUUCAACAGUGACGACGAAACCGCCUUAUAUUUUAAACUACUCUUCUUUGGAUGCCUAUGCAUGCUCGUGUGGAAACAUAUAUGGCUGCUGCCAGUAAUGCUAUUUUUCUUAGCAAUUCAUGUAUUGAAGAGAGUUUUAGACUUCUUUGGAGUUUGGCUGUUCUGUGAGAAUCACUAUAAUAAUUUCAUGGGCAAAGUCAAAAAUUGGUGGUCUGACAGACAAUCUGCGGCGGUGCCAGCGCACAUUCGUGGAAUCCGCAAAAUCCUCUCUAGUUUGAAUAAAAGCAUAAGAGACGUGGCCUACGGCUCUGUAGAUACUGUCUCUACUUGCAUCGUCAUCACGGGUCUUAUUACAUUUCUUAUCGUCGCUACUAUAUUCAUUUGUAUACAGAUAUACUCAGAGGCAAUAGUGGUGGUCCAACUGAGCGGCAGCCUCCUGAACAGUACGUUCGUACAAAACAGUGAGCUGCACGCUUACCUCCCCGAGGGUUGGGAGGAGAAACUAGAUUCCUUAAUCGACAACGCCUAUACUUAUGGAAAGGAGGGCAUAUCUACUGGUGUAAAGAGCAUACUCAAAGAAGGUGACCCUGAGAAGAUAGCUCGUGUAGAGGAGCAAAUCCUACAACUAUGGGAUCGCGUGUACCAAAGCUGGGUGUCGGGACAGUUCGCGCCGCAGAUCGGGCCUACGGUCGACGGCAACGCUGUCCAGGACUCGUGGGACAGCUUCGUCAACGAUAUUUCGAACACGCCUGGCAUGUUCGAUUACUCCGGCAUCGUAGCCUGGGUGCAAGCUAACGUGGGUACCCUGAGCGCCAUAGCCACUAGCAUUUGGGCACCGCUGGCAAGCAAUGUGUCUUUGCUGGCCGGGUCCAUCGGCGCGUUCACGUCGCUUCUACUCUCAGGUGGAGGCGCUGUCAUCAACAUGUUCAUUAACUUGGUGGUGUUCUUUACAACGCUUUUCUACUUGCUGGCGUGCAGCAACGCUCUCUACAAGCCAGUCGAGGUCAUCACUCAAGUGCAGCCCAACUUUGGACCGCGGUUGGGCAUCGCCUUGUCUGUCGCUAUAAAUCAGGUGUUCAGAGCGUCAUUCAAAAUGGCGCUCUUUUACGGGUUAUGGACGUGGCUGGUGCAUAAUCUGUUUGGAGCUAAAGUUGUCUACUUACCUUCAGUGUUAGCUGCAGUGCUGGGCGCUGCUCCAUUCCUCGGGCCGUACUUGGCGGGGAUCCCCGCGGCGCUGGACGUGUGGCUGCAGGGCAGGCCUAUGGCCGCGCUGAUGCUGCCUAUAGCUCAAGCUGCGCCCAUCGCAUUCCUUGAUGCCGCCGUCUACGCUGAAAUCAAAGACGGCGGGCAUCCUUACGUGACCGGUCUAGCAAUAGCGGGUGGCAUAUUCUACCUCGGCCCCGAGGGCGCGAUCCUGGGGCCGCUGCUGCUGUGCUGCCUCAUGGUGGUGCUGAACCUCUCCUCCGCCUUCCUGCGCGACACGCCGUCGGAGGAGCGCGCCGCCCUGCACUCGCGUGUCAGUGUACCAAAGUGGUUGGCGAAUGAGAAAUUGCCUCAGCUUGUUUUUUCUAUGAUGCUCAAAAGGUUAACCAAGGUAAUUUUGAUAAGUAGUUCUUCAUUCGACACAUUUCGAAAUAUACAAAAGUACUUCAAAGUCCAUUAUGUUCAAAACAAAACGUAAUUACCCAUUCUUGUAAAUAACUGUUUUACUUUCUUGUUUAUUGGUGAAUUACAUUAUUUUUGGCAUAUUUAAUUGAUAAGUAAUAAUGCGUGGGUGUUCCUGUUGAUUUAGGUCAUUAUUGGGAUUGUUUUAUAAUUGAGGCUCGGUGCUUUUCUCUGACGGGCAUGCAUGGACUACUAACACUCAGUCAGUCCCCAACUGAUUUGUCAAUUAAUAAGCCAAGCAAUGUAUGGUAUGAUAAGAAAUAACAAUCCAUUCGUAACAAGGGAAUGUUCUAAAAAAUCGGCUAAGACCAUGUCAGGCUAUGCUCAGUGUAGGGUUCCGUAGGUACGAUUCUGUCAGAAUAAGCUAAACGGGGGCUAUUAGUAUCAUGUACAUUAUAAGUUAUAAGCAUAAGGGAAUACCUUCGCAGCGCUUUAUAUAUCUUUUUUUACUAAGAAGAAAAUACUUUUUGCAAUAAUUCAAAAACGGCUGGACCGAUCAUGAUCGCUAUAGUGUUCAUUGAAAGUACUUAUGUUUUUAUUUUAACCCUUGGUAGUGUGGUAGGCCAUCGACUCCCGACCGAUUAUGUCAUUUAAAUUUCAAAUUUGAUUAAUUGAAAUAACUCAAAAACGAUGUAUGCCACUUGAAGGAUAUUUUUUGGACCCAUUGUUUAAAAGUUAGAGGGGUGGGUAAUGCAUUCGUUUUAAAAUACCUAUCCAACGAUACCCCAAACCAUUGGCUUAAAGAGAAAAGAUUAAAAAAACAUAUUGUAUGGAAGGUACGCUAAAAACAAUAUUCUAGUUUUUAUGUUACCGUUCUGUCGCCAUGCAUGAUUUAUGUAUCCAUGCCAAAAUGCAGUUUUUUAGCACUAACGAUCACGGUGCAAAGCCACGGACGGACAUGGUGAAACUAUACCUAAGGGUUCCAACUUGACUACGGAACCCUGAACAACGGUUUAAUAGGAAAGCUUAGGUUCCUACAUGUUUACAGUGCCAUGACACUUAUACUUUAACCCAUAAGCAUUCGAGGCGCUGAAAUUCAGAAACAUAUUAUUGAAAACUUUGAAAUUUAUAGUAAAGGGCCGUUUAACCCGCUUUUCGAAAUUAGUAUUGUUGGAGAUAAUGUUUAUAAUAGUAAGAUGUUUCUGGUGUAGGAUCUGGCGUUGUUUUGAUCCAUACCUAAUACAUAUUUAUCAUUAAUACACUUGGUUUAUUUAUAGUAUUCAUUCCAUAUGAUACGAACAGAUUCUAUUUACUUACAUGAUGGGUACUCUGAUUCUAGUAUAGUAAUAGAUUAGUACUUUGAUACUACUAUUAUAUGAAAUAUGUUUGUGGAAAUGGAAUGUAGAGAUAACAGUUGAAAUAUACCAACUUACCUAUUGUUAUUUUAACUGCCAUCGUGCCGCCCAAUGUAUACUGUUUCAAAUUUUCAAUGAAAUUUGGACCUUUCAUAAAGCAUACAAAGUACCUACUAGUCAAGGCUCGGAACCGGUUUUUAAAAUACCGAUUAAUACCGGUUGAUUUCGGUUUUACUCCGAACUUUCAUAAGAACGCGAAUGGUUUAAGAACUCCAUUGUAAGCCGGUCUGGUGGUGUGCCGCGUACACAAAGAUACCGACAUAGGAAGAAACCGGUUUUUACUGUUCUACACCGGUAAUUCUGACAAGAAAUUUAUGGAAAUGUUCUCCUAAAAACCGGUUUAAAAAUAACGGUUUUACGAACAAAACCGGCUUAUAAAGGUCAAGCCAAGUACAUGAUAACGGUUUAGAAAUUUAACCGGUUUCCGAGCCUUGCUACUAGUAAUUUUUUUAUCGUCUCAUUUUUUCAUACUUCCUUAACAAAAGCUAUUUGUUAAUGUCUAUAUAAAUAUAAUAAAUGUUAUAAAUUAUCCUAUGUAUGUCUAAAAUAUAUUGCAUAACUAUUACAUGGAUAUUUUACUGAUGUUUUGGUAUUUUGUUCAUAUGUUAGAAAAAGGUAUUUAUUAUGAAUCUCAUUCAUCAGUAACAUUACUAUAAUUAUGUGUCGUUUUAAUGCAAAAGCACAUUGUCGCUUGCUUAAUUCGUAUAAAGAUACAAGAAAAUUUCGUCCUUAUCGUAAGUGACAUUGUACCUUUGCUUGUUUUCAACGUUACAUAUAUCGGAGAUUAUUUUCAUUAUAUGUAUUUGAAAUUAUUAUGUUUGACUGUCAAAUGGUUCAUUACAUGUAGAGCUUUAGAAUGUUAUUGUACACCCAGCUGCAAAUUUGCAUUGCCACUGUAUGAAUGAUUUCAUUAUAUUAUGUCUCCGGUGCAGGGACCCGUCCAGCCCUUCCCAGAAAUAAACCUUUAAAUUGUUUAGUCGUUUAUCGAAUAGCCCCAACGAUUGGCUUUCCCUUUGAAUUGCUUACCCGAAGGGGUUUCCCUUUCAGAUAUCGCUAAAAUGAAAGGGUCCCCUUCCUAAUUCAAAAAAUUAUGACAUCUAUGCUGUCAACGCGCUAGACACCCAGUCCUUCACUUUAAACAUAAAUAAGCAAUAUUUGAUUCUAUUUUUACGGAGAGUAAGUUGAAAAUGGAAUAAUCGUUAUAAUUUAUAAUCGAUUCCCCUUCAAGAGGUUAGGGCUUAAGGAACGGGUAUCGAACAGGUAUCAGCUUACCCGUAUUAUGAAGCGCUUAAAAAGCCGAAUGAAAGAGUUUUAGAUAGCAACGGCUUUGGUAAGCAAAGCCUUACGAAAUACCCCUUCCAAAACGCUCGAAGGGGAUACCGGGCCGGGAAGGGACCCUGCUCCGGUGGCAAUUUUUCAGCUCACUGUACUUUGCUUCAGUGGAUGCACAAUGUUGUAUGUUAUGCCUUGUUAAUAAACUAAAGAUAAGUUUAUUUGUUGUGUUGUCCUGAUGUUGUGGAGAGAUAUUUACAUAUAUUUAAUUGUAAACUUAGUCUGGCACACACAAUAAUAGUCGUUGCAUGUAUUAGGAAUUUUGAAUAACAUUAUUUACUAGUCACAGCAUUUAACUUCAUAAGUUGACACUUUCACUGUCAGCGACCUGCAAAGCGGGUUCUUUGUUCGUAGCCGCUUUUCGCUACAGAGUGUAAAAUACGUGUUAUCGAUAGUGAAUGUGGUAAUGGCCUAGGAAAAGUAAUUUUAGUUCCUCGUACCUAAACAUUUCGAAGAGAUUGAAUUUAUUUUAGAUACGUGUUUAAUUUUUUAUAUCAAAAAAACAUCCCUUAACCCGAUCGACAACAAACGUGUCAAUAUAAUUUCAUAAAUUUUCAGAUUUAACUUUAAAAUUAGAUUGCAUUUUCGUAUAAAAUGACUUGUAUUGAAAUGAAUCGCCGUAUCAAUUUUGGGCUUGUGUUUUGUUUUUUUUAUAAAACCUAAGUUAAUAAUUAUUUUACUUUAUCUGUCUGUGACAUUUCUUUUUGAUUAAAAUCAGAGCGCGGCCUACGUAUAACGCAUGUCAUUUAUAGGUACUUUAUACAACGUACUUGUAAGUUGUUAUGACUGACUUAAAAUCCUUGUUGCUUCUAGUCUCUCUAUUACUUAUUUUGUUUAUUAGCAUUUAUCCCGAAACGAGAUUUAUCACGAAGUAUUCAGUGGUCGUCGUUUGGUGUUGUUAAAAUAAAAUGGCAAACGGAACGUCAUUCCGUAUUUGAUAUACCAAAUCCUGUGCAUUAUUCACUAGGCAAUAAAGUAAUUAUGUACACUAUUUUAAGUCUAGCCAGCUGCCAAAUAAAGGUUUCCAGUAUGUCAUUGUAUGCGCAAAUAUUAUAAAACGCCUAAUGUACAAUAAUAUAUAUACAACUACGUGUAAGAAAACAGGCCAGCAUAAAUUAGAAAAAUGAUGAGCAAAAAAACCGCAUGCACCUUCAAUAAUUAUUUACCAAUCGUACCUAGGUAUACUGUACGUAAAGUAUCUAGGUGCGUAUGGUAGGUAUGUUCUAUUUACGUCGGUCUGUAUUCCAUUAUUGAUAAUAUACUCGUAUUCAGAAUAAGAAAGAAUGAACUGAUAUUUCAGGGCAGGGCGUAUAUUUCAAGAGAUUACUACAUUAUUUUUUUAAUACAUCAGUCUUAUAUUUUAAUGACUUAAAGUUUCUUUUAUUUACGUGGCUUCAGGCCGUCUCAAUAAUAUUUGAAGUAAAUAUGCUUAUAAUAAAAUAUACCUAAUAACAUUCAAACUGCCGUCAGCUUUGCUCUUCCUAAUUCUAGAUAAGAGUAUAGUAUCAAGAUUAGUUAAUAAGUAAGUUACAUUGGUUAAGGAGAAAGCGGUGUCCAGGCGAUCGUUCGCACAAAGUGCAGUGAUAUCCGCUAACUUCCAAAGGUUUCGUAAAAUGUGCUCCCAACUAUCUGAUUUCUAGUAUUAAGAAUUUAAAUAUGUAUUGUAUGCUAUUAUUAUUAUUUACAUGCAGUUUUCUAAUUUUUAUACGUGGUUAAAUCUAUUUUCGAAGCCAUAUGGGUACUUAGAGAAAUUAAUGAGCUUUGCAUUGCGCUUGUUGGAAUCUACUUAUUUACUUUUGUAAAGCUGCAAAAACUAUAUAACAUUAAUAUUGAUGCUGUAGAUUCUUUGAAAUAUGUGACGUGCCUAGUAUAAAACAAUUCAAAAUUGUAACUCUAUUCAAUGGAAACUAAUUUGCGUUGCCAUGUGUAAUAUUCGUAAGAUCACAAGAGAUUUAAAAAGAUAAAUGGAUAAAGAAAUGACACAGAUUUAACGCCGCUUGUAACACAACAAAAAACGAUCCUUUCGCUAUAUCUAUUUUUUAAACGUCUAUAGGCUGCCUUUGUUAUCACUGACUGACUGAGGGGUGAAUAUGUGUCAUACUGAACAACGUUUACUAUGGGGCCAACCCCGAAUUCGUAAAAAAAAUUAGCUACUCAAUAGAAAACAUUGUCUAUGAUUCACCGAAAUGUGAAACGAAGACUGCGGAUUUUUUUUUGCUAUUUCGGGGUUGGCCCCAUAGUAAACCUACAUCUUCACCCCUUAGAGUUUGGCCAGUGAUAACAAAAGCACCAUGUAUAGUCACGUUCAUUCAGUAAUAAAUAAUAAUAUAUACAUAUACUCAAACACACCCAAAUUGUCGGUAGAAAAGGCGCAAAAUUUUCUAUGCGAGGUCAACCCUUCACGCCUACAUUUUUUAAAUUUGCCGCCUUUUUCUACUGAAAAAGUGGCUGUGCGAGAGUAUAGUUCAGAUUAUCAAAGCAAUAUUUAAAAUAACAUAUAUAAGUAUAUUGAAACCAGCAAAGCCCUUACCAGUUCAGAAAGUAUCGUCCAAAAAUGAGUUAAGCUUUAUCAUAAACUAAUAUUAUGGUAUUGCAUUGCCAUUAAAUGCACUAAAAAUAGUUUAUUAUACGCGCAUAUUCGCAUUGAGCCAAAUAAAAGUAAUAUAUUGAUUUGCUUAUAAA